rnacentral:rRNA from 1 species
ACCCUGAACGGUGGAUCACUCGGCUCGUGAUUCGAAGUAGAACGCAGCCAAUUGCGCGUCGACAUGUGACCUGCAUGACACAUGAACACCGACGUUUCGAACCCACAUUGCGGUCCUUGGAUUUUCAAUCCCGGACCACGCCUGGCUGAGGGUC